rnacentral:rRNA from 1 species
UCGUACGAAAAAGAAAUUUUUAGUGGCGGACGGGUGAGUAACACGUGAGAAUUUGCCCUUAGGAAGAGGAUAACAGAUAGAAAUAUUUGCUAAAACUCUAUAUGCCAUUCGGUGAAAAAAGCAAUUUGCCUAAGGAGAAGCUUGCGUCUGAUUAGCUAGUUGGUAAGGUAAAGGCUUACCAAGGCGACGAUCAGUAGCUGGUCUGAGAGGACGAUCAGCCACACUGGAACUGAGACACGGUCCAGACUCC